rnacentral:miRNA from 1 species
AGUGAGAUUGUUGCAUAUUUACA